AAAGUCGUAACAAGGUCUCCGUUGGUGAACCAGCGGAGGGAUCAUUAGCGAGUAUAACUCUCUAAAACCAUUGUGAACGAACGUACCGGUUGCUUCGGCGGACGGCUUGCCGCCGCCGAAAGAACUCAACUCUUGUUAUCAUUGUCUCUCUGAGUAAAUUACUUAAUAAGUUAAAACUUUCAACAACGGAUCUCUUGGUUCUG
rnacentral:misc_RNA from 1 species